GAUGAACGCUGGCGGCGUGCCUAAUACAUGCAAGUCGAGCGAACGGACGAGAAGGUUGCUACUCUGAUGUUAGCGGCGGACGGGUGAGUAACACGUGGAUAACCUACUUAUAAGACUGGGAUAAAUUCGGGAAAACUGAGCUAAUACCGGAUAAAAUUUUGAACCGCAUGGUUCAAGAGUGAAAGACGGUCUUGCUGUCACUUAUAGAUGGAUCCGCGCGGCAUUAGCUAGUUGGUAAGGUAACGGCUUACCAAGGCAACGAUGCAUAGCCGACCUGAGAGGGUGAUCGGCCACACUGGAACUGAGACACGGUCCAGACUCCUACGGGAGGCAGCAGUAGGGAAUCUUCCGCAAUGGGCGAAAGCCUGACGGAGCAACGCCGCGUGAGUGAUGAAGGUCUUCGGAUCGUAAAACUCUGUUAUUAGGGAAGAACAUAUGUGUAAGGAACUGUGCACAUCUUGACGGUACCUAAUCAGAAAGCCACGGCUAACUACGUG
rnacentral:rRNA from 1 species